rnacentral:tRNA from 1 species
GAGCCGUGGCCGAGGACGACGGCGGCCUCGCUGCGGACGAGGUCGGACAGGUGCCGGAUCUGUUCGGGCUCGGACAGGGCGCG